rfam:Aedes aegypti strain Liverpool supercont1.254 genomic scaffold, whole genome shotgun sequence.
CCAUCGGCCCUUUUAAGGGCCAUCAAAUUAGUCAAAAAUAACUAUU